UGAGUAAGCUGAACGGUCGCGCGAAGCAAUUCGUGAGGAAAGUCCGAGCACCACAGGGCAAGGAUAGCGGGUAACACCCGCCGGAGGCGACUCCAGGACAAGUGCAACAGAGAUAUACCGCCAGGACGGCUUUGUCCGACCUGGUAAGGGUGGAAAGGUGAGGUAAGAGCUCACCGGUUUUGCGGGAGACCGUGAAAUCCUGUAAACUCUAUCCGGUGCAACAUCGACUCGGGGGCUAAGCUGGCCCGGCAUCCCCGGACAGAUGGCUUGAGGUGUAUGGCAACAUACAUCCCAGAAAGAUGACCGUUCUCGACAGAACUCGGCUUACAGGCUUACUCAGUAC
rnacentral:RNase_P_RNA from 1 species